UAGAAAGUACACAUUCACUCUCCAGCUGAA
rnacentral:piRNA from 1 species